GACGAACGCUGGCGGCGUGCUUAACACAUGCAAGUCGAACGGAAAGGCCCUGCUUUUGUGGGGUGCUCGAGUGGCGAACGGGUGAGUAACACGUGAGUAACCUGCCCUUGACUUUGGGAUAACUUCAGGAAACUGGGGCUAAUACCGGAUAGGAGCUCCUGCUGCAUGGUGGGGGUUGGAAAGUUUCGGCGGUUGGGGAUGGACUCGCGGCUUAUCAGCUUGUUGGUGGGGUAGUGGCUUACCAAGGCUUUGACGGGUAGCCGGCCUGAGAGGGUGACCGGCCACAUUGGGACUGAGAUACGGCCCAGACGCCUACGGGAGGCAGCAGUGGGGAAUAUUGCAAAGUGGGCGGAAGCCUGAUGCAGCAACGCCGCGUGCGGGAUGACGGCCUUCGGGUUGUAAACCGCUUUCGCCUGUGACGAAGCGGGAGUGGCGGUAAUGGGUAAAGAAGCACCGGCUAACUACGUG
rnacentral:rRNA from 1 species